UACGGAGGGAGCUAGCGUUGUUCGGAAUUACUGGGCGUAAGGCGCACGUAGGCGGCUUUGUAAGUUAGAGGUGAAAGCCCGGGGCUCAACCCCGGAAUUGCCUUUAAGACUGCAUCGCUUGAAUCCAGGAGAGGUGAGUGGAAUUCCGAGUGUAGAGGUGAAAUUCGUAGAUAUUCGGAAGAACACCAGUGGCGAAGGCGGCUCAC
rnacentral:rRNA from 1 species